AUGGCAACCCUUAUUCAUUCGAGAACAAAAGUACAACUCUGUACCGCCGUUAAAAACUGGCCAGGCGGCGACGUACUGUGAACAGCUGCUUGAAUGAAUGGAAGAGGAGGAGGCAAAUAAGAAAAAUACUACGCGUGGGUGAAGAAGAAGCACCCAAACAAAAAAAUAUCAAUGGAUACAACGAGGUUCUGGUGGAUUUCUAUGGCCGUAUAAGGGGAUUUUAAAUAAGGGAUCAUGUUGGCUGCCUUGAGCCUAUAGAAAAAUUUGAUGGCCGAUUCUGAAAGAUGGCGGAUUGAAGCAGAAUGAAAUGAUUUUUCAGGUUUUGUUCCAGAUGGGCCAGUGGACUAGGGAUUAAGGUGGUUCCGGGAAUUUAAGGUAAGUGUAAUGGAUUAUAUUUGAAAUAUAAAAAGUGGACUUUAGUGAAAAUUAAAAUGUGGUUCGGUGCAAAAAAAAAUUUUGGUUACAGUGUGCGUCAAAAGUUUGAGUGCCGUGUAAAAAAAAAUUUUAAUCGAAUAAAAUAAAAAAAAUUUAUAAAUUUAAAAUAAUUUCGGUUCGGGUUUUGGAAAAAGUGAAUUCGGGUAAAAAAAAAUAUUUUGGAAUUUACAGUGCGUGUAAAAAGUAAAAAAAAAAAAAAAAUAAAAUACUUGAAAAAGUUUUAACAAUCGUUUCGUGUAGAAUGAUUAAAAGUGAAAAUGUUAAAGAAAAAUUAUUUGAUCGGAAUUUACAGUGAGUGUCAAAAGUGUUCGGACAAAAAAAAAAUAAUUUAAUGAAAAAAAGUUGAAAAAAGAAAAUUGUUUAAGAAAUUAGAGUGGUUCUGAAAAGUGACAAAAAAAAAUUUAAAAUUUAAAUUUGGAAGAUACAGUGAGAACAAAAAGUGAAGUGACAGUGAAAUAUUUUUUUUCUUCAAAUACAGUGGGUUGUAAAAAAAAAUUUAGUGACUGGAUCUAAUAAGCGAGACCAACGGAAACUAAAGUUUGAAAAUUUACAGUGGCCAUUAGAAUUUGUGAAUUAGUUAAAUUUAAAACAAAAUUAUUUGUGUAAACAAAAAUGAAGUGAACCGUGACCAAAACCUUUUGUAUCCAAAACAAAAGAAAAAUUAAUAAAACUCUA